CAGUAGCCGCGGUAAUACGAAGGGUGCAAGCGUUGCUCGGAAUUACUGGGCGUAAAGCGUGCGUAGGUGGUUGUUUAAGUCUGCUGUGAAAGCCCUGGGCUCAACCUGGGAAUUGCAGUGGAUACUGGGCGACUAGAGUAAGGUAGAGGAUAGUGGAAUUUCCGGUGUAGCAGUGAAAUGCGUAGAGAUCGGAAGGAACAUCUGUGGCGAAAGCGACUAUCUGGGCCAUUACUGACACUGUGGCACGAAAGCGUGGGGAGCAAACAGGAUUAGAUACCCGCGUAGUCCCUGUCUCUUAUAC
rnacentral:rRNA from 1 species